AUGCAUUUUGAAGAGUGUAGAGGACAGUACACUGUAACACAGACUCCAGCAAUACUAACAGCUCAACCAGGACAAGAAGUCAGGAUAAACUGUAAAACCAGCAGUGCAGUGUGUGGUAGUAGUUACCUACACUGGUACUUACAGAAACCUGGAGAAGCUCCUAAACUCCUCAUAUAUUAUACCAACAGCCUCCAGUCAGGAACUCCAUCUAGAUUCAGUGGCAGUGGAUCUGGCAGUGAUUUCACUCUGACCAUCAGUGGAGUCCAGACUGAAGAUACAGGAGAUUAUUACUGUCAGAGUUACCACAGUGGUGGAGUGUUCACACAGUGAUAAAGAGUGGUACAAAAACCUCGGUCAGUCAGACGUCACAGUGAUGCACUGAUACAGCUGAGAGAUACUGCAGCUGCUGAUGGAGGAUCACAAACAACACAAUGGUGUAUCAAACCUUUCAGAGACUUUAUUUAUUAUGAUGUAUUUAGUAAACAUGUAACAUACAAUCUUAUAUCCCUUAUACUAAACUGGACUAAAAUCUGGAGAAAAUGUGAGUGGUGCUCGUCCCUGCAUAACUUUACACUACAAUAUUAUCUGUAUUAUUUACUGUAGGAAAGUCAAUCGCUUUAAUUGGACUUCCAUACUUCACCACUAGAGGUCACAUGUCUUUAACAUAACUGAGAUCUACACAUCUUUUUCUUCUCU